GUCGUAACAAGGUUUCCGUAGGUGAACCUGCGGAAGGAUCAUUACCACACCAAUAAAAACACCCCACGUGAAUCUGUACUGUUUUGUUUUGUGUUUUCUUCGGAGAACUAAACGAAGGUUUCGAAAGAAACUGAUGUACCUAUUUAAACCCCUUAUAAAUUAUAACUGAUUAAAUUACUACGCAGAAAUGAAAAUUUUUGCUCAUAAUUUAAAUACAACUUUCAACAGUGGAUGUCUAGGCUC
rnacentral:misc_RNA from 1 species